UUUAUGGUCCGCACUUCUAGAAACAAAGCAUCUCCAUCGAACUACCUUAUCUCUCUCAGGUUCACUUCUCUCCAAUAAUUCUCCGAGUUCUCUCUCAUUUAUAACACUAAAUCUUGCCUCCACCUGAUGAAAUACCAGAGUAAUUUCAGUCUUAGCUUAACGAUCAUCCCUUUAACAAACACCAGAGUACCCAUACGAAGCUAUCUUUGCGGUCCCUUCUGAUGGACAUGUUCUUCUUUUUAGAAAGAAUUCCAAGGGACGCCGUUCCUAGUUCAGUUGCCAUGUCAGUGGAGCUAACUUCAAUUAUCAUAUUAUGUUUGUUUUAAGAACCUGAACUUCUAAUUCACGUUCUGAAUGCAGCUUAUCCCAACAUCUAUCGCGAGAAGUUGAUGUUGAAACCUUGAAGACUAUGGUGAUGAAAUACAAUUGUUUGCAAGAAAUUGACCUUACAGAUUGUAAAGCUCUGAUGACUUCUAUUUGUGAAGUUUACAGUGAUGAGGGUGGUUGGCCGGUGAUAUAGGGUUAAGAAGGCCCUGUAUUAUAGGUGAAAUCAGAAGGCUACAGUUUGUGGAAUACUAUGAUGAUUUUAGUGACCUGAUCGAUGCAGCAAAGUGUGCUGAUGUUUUGUUGUUACUGAUUGAAACUUUUUUGUCUAUAACUACAUUCCUAUAAGUGGUGGAAUUUAUGACCUGACUGAGCAACUUGUUUUCUGUCUGACUGCGAUUUCAUGUAACCUUUUUUUCGUCAGGCUUAUACAUACUCAUAUGAAGACUAAAUCGCUUGAAAUUUUUUUUUUUUUUCAAGGCUUGUAAUUACGACUGGUGAUGUCUUUGAGUAGCUUCCUAUGAUAUUUAUUAAUGUUUUCUCUUUGGUGUUGUUGCAAAUCAGUUAGGCAGAUCGUUAACCUGGAUCAGGCAGUGGAUUGAAUGCCAAAGCCAUAGACUCAACGGUUGAGGAUCCUGUAACUAUUUGUGCAUUGCUUGAGGUAUAUUAUUUUGAUCAGUUGGGCAGCUCAGUUCAUCUUUUUGCUGAUUUAGUUUAUUUCAUUGUUUGUAGGUUGAUUUCCACCUAUUGCAAGAUAACACAUCUUAAAGAACUUAAAAUGAUAUGAAUUCAGUAGUUUUGUAGAGCUUUUUGGGGUUUUGAUCAAAGUGUCAGCUCUAUUCACAUGUAAAUUCAGUUAAUAAUUGUACAACAACUUUCAAAUUUGAAUUGAAUGGUGAAUGUUUUGAUCGGUGUAUGAAAUGAUCUAAUCUUAUGUUUAGUCAGAAAUAAGUCAGAUGAUUCAGAUGAAUCA